rnacentral:pre_miRNA from 18 species
AUCCCACCCUGUUCGCAAUGGCACUGCAUGAAUUCACGGAUGCAAAGCGACAGACCGCGGAUCAUGCGGUACCAUAGCUGACGGUGGUGAGAUCAGA